rnacentral:rRNA from 1 species
UGAGGAAUAUUGGGCAAUGCCCGCAAGGGUGACCCAGCAACGCCGCGUGGAGGAUGAAUGUCGUAAGAUUGUAAACUCCUGUUAGAGGGGAAGAAUAGUACCGGUUGGACCGGUAUAUGACUGUACCCUCAGAAGAAGCCCCGGCUAACUUCGUGCCAGCAGCCGCGGUAAUACGAAGGGGGCUAGCGUUACUCGGAAUGACUGGGCGUAAAGGGCGCGUAGGCGGUUUGGACAGUUAGGCGUGAAAUUCCUGGGCUCAACCUGGGGGCUGCGCUUAAUACAUCCAGACUUGAAUGUGGAAGAGGGUCGUGGAAUUCCCAGUGUAGAGGUGAAAUUCGUAGAUAUUGGGAAGAACACCGGUGGCGAAGGCGGCGACCUGGUCCAUUACUGACGCUGAGGCGCGAAAGCGUGGGGAGCAAACA